UGGGGAAUCUUGCACAAUGGGGGAAACCCUGAUGCAGCGACGCCGCGUGAACGAUGAAGCCCUUCGGGGUGUAAAGUUCUUUCGACAGGAACGGUAAUGACGGUACCUGGAGAAGAAGCUGCGGCUAACUACGUGCCAGCAGCCGCGGUAAUACGUAGGCAGCGAGCGCUGUUCGGAGUUACUGGGCGUAAAGAGUGCGUAGGCGGCGAGCCAAGUUUGGUGUGAAAUCUCCCGGCUUAACCGGGAGGGUGCGCCGAAAACUGGUUGGCUGGAGUAUGGGAGAGGAAAGCGGAAUUCCUGGUGUAGCGGUGAAAUGCGUAGAUAUCAGGAGGAACACCUGCGGUGUAGACAGCUUUCUGGACCAAAACUGACGCUGAGGCACGAAAGCGUGGGUAGCAAACA
rnacentral:rRNA from 1 species